AACGAACGCUGGCGGCAUGCCUAACACAUGCAAGUCGAACGAGACCUUCGGGUCUAGUGGCGCACGGGUGCGUAACGCGUGGGAACCUGCCCUUAGGUUCGGAAUAACUCCCCGAAAGGGGUGCUAAUACCGGAUAAUGUCUUCGGACCAAAGAUUUAUCGCCUUUGGAUGGGCCCGCGUUGGAUUAGCUAGUUGGUAGGGUAAAAGCCUCCCAAGGCGACGAUCCAUAGCUGGUCUGAGAGGAUGAUCAGCCACACUGGGACUGAGACACGGCCCAGACUCCUACGGGAGGCAGCAGUGGGGAAUAUUGGACAAUGGGCGAAAGCAUGAUCCAGCAAUGCCGCGUGAGUGAUGAAGGCCUUAGGGUUGUAAAGCUCUUUUACCCGGGAUGAUAAUGACAGUACCGGGAGAAUAAGCUCCGGCUAACUCCGUG
rnacentral:rRNA from 1 species